rnacentral:rRNA from 1 species
UACAGAGGUCCCAAGCGUUGUUCGGAUUCACUGGGCGUAAAGGGUGCGUAGGUGGUGAGGUAAGUCGGAUGUGAAAGCUCCGAGCUCAACUCGGAAAUGGCGUUGGAAACUACCUUGCUCGAGGGUUUGAGGGGGGACUGGAAUACUUGGUGUAGCAGUGAAAUGCGUAGAUAUCAAGUAGAACACCAGUGGCGAAGGCGAGUCCCUGGAAAACUCCUGACACUGAGGCACGAAAGCUAGGGGAGCAAACAGG